rnacentral:rRNA from 1 species
CUACGUGCCAGCAGCCGCGGUAAUACGGAAGGUCCGGGCGUUAUCCGGAUUUAUUGGGUUUAAAGGGAGCGUAGGCCGGGGAUUAAGUGUGUUGUGAAAUGUAGGCGCCCAACGUCUGACUUGCAGCGCAUACUGGUUCCCUUGAGUACGCGCAACGCCGGCGGAAUUCGUCGUGUAGCGGUGAAAUGCUUAGAUAUGACGAAGAACCCCGAUUGCGAAGGCAGCCGGCGGGAGCGCAACUGACGCUGAAGCUCGAAGGUGCGGGUAUCGAACAGGAUUAGAUACCCUGGUAGUCCGCACGGUAAACGAUGGAUGCCCGCUGUUAGCGCCUGGCGUUAGCGGCUAAGCGAAAGCAUUAAGCAUCCCACCUGGGGAGUACGGCCGCAAGGCUAAAACUCAAAGGAAUUGACGGGGGCCCGCACAAGCGGCGGAGCAUGCGGAUUAAUUCGAUGCAACGCGAAGAACCUUACCAAGGCUUGACAUGC